UCUGCUCAAUGAUUUUUUAAAUUGCUGUAGUAUUUUGACUAUACAAAGGUAUUGAAAUAAGAUUUUAAUUGAAUGCUAAGAGAAUGGAAGUCCAGAAAAAAACUUUUUUUAAAUUAAAAAUUGAAGUUUUUUUAAUUUGUGCAGAAACAAUUAUUUAUAUUAAAGACAAGAAGACCCUAUGAAUUUAUUAAAUUUUUAUUUAAUAUGUAAUUACUAUUAGAAAAAUUUUGGCUGGGGCGGCUAGAAAAUAUUAUGAACUUUUUAAAAAUAAAAUGAUCCAUUAUUAAUGAUUUUAUGUUAAAUACUCUAGGGA
rnacentral:rRNA from 1 species